CAAUAAUAAGUAAAUAAAUAAUUUCUUGAUAUGUUCUCACUAAUAUGAGAAAAAUUACAUCAUGGUUCAUUCAAACACUGAAAUAGGAGCCUGGGCUAUAAUAAAAAGCAAUUUUCAUAGAAGAAACCAACAGUAUCUUUUAAGGACGAAAUGAAGUUACGUAGGAAGUCUCUGUUGUAGUAACAGUGCUGUUUUGGGAUCAGUUAACUACUGGUUCCUUUUAAGGAUAGAUAAAAAUUUCUAUGGUGUAGUCAUUUUCUAUGGACACAAGCAAGAAGGCAAAAUGCUACAUAAUAUGUUCACAAAAUUCACUGAAAUCAUCCCAGAAUUAUUUGUAUCUGCAUAUCGAAUGAUGGACCAUCAAGCAGGACUCCAUAAUUAUUAUUGAAGGUCGUCUAAUGAAUUUGUUUAUGGAAUAAGAAACAGACAAAGGACAAUGAUUGACUAAGGAUAUUUAUUCAAACAGCAGAAGAUAUAGUUCAAGCAGUUAUAGUUGAACAACUAUCUAAAGGACUCCAUAAUUAUUGAGGGUUGUCUAAUGAAAUGGUUAUUGGACUAAGAAACAAACAAAGGACAAUGUUUUUCUGACGAUAUUUAGCAGAAGAUAUAGUUUGAAGUUUAAAUAUAGGUUUGGAUCUCUGGAACACAUUAUCUCGUAAGCUAAUCAAAUGGACCCGUUCCUACACGCCAACGAUACUGCAAGAUACCCAUAACUACCAAGGCUUCAACUCCAGCUGGCUUUUGUUUAUUUUAAUAUAAUUUCUUUUGAACUAAUUAGUACUUUUAGGUGGCAUUAUAUUAAACACAAUUACAUUUAAAUAAAUAAA
rnacentral:lncRNA from 1 species